CCCCAGCCAUCGUGAGGUAUACCCUGCUUAGUGGCUCCCGAACCAGAAAAACAAACCGGCCCAGCCCGCACCCCCACCACUCUCUCCUCUCUCCCUCGUUCCUAAUCUCUCCAACCGCACACGCCACCCGCCGCCAGCCCCAACUCUCCGGCAACCCGCCUCCCCCCGCCACCCACCUCCAGCGACGCGCCGCGCCCAGCACCUCCCACCUCCGGCGACGCGCCGUGACCACCGCACCCUGCCUCCUCCCUCAUGCCGCGCGCUGCCCCUGAACCCUGCCUCCUCUCUCGCGCCGCCCCCACUGCCCCCCGAGCGUGGCCGCCCCUCCACGGAUCCAAGCUCGCACGCCGCCGCCCCUCCCACCACGCCGAGCUCGCACGCCACCGCCGCCGGCGCCCCCAACUGGCCGCCCCUCGUCAGUUUGUGUGUUCCAUCCGCACCAAAAAUCGCCGUCCCUAGCUUCCCGUGGAUCCCUGCGCGCCGCCGCCCACCAGAAGGAUGCUCUCGUGCUCCCCGACGCCGCUUUCCUUAAGCAUUCGUGCGCUCCAAAAGUCAACGCGACACAGCUGCUUCCUCCGGCAACACCUCCUACCGACGCCGGCGGUUCUGAGGUUACCUUGUUAGUAGUUCAACUUUGCUAAAUUCUGUAGUUAACCAUUGCUAAAAAUCAUCUUAGAAAUUAUCUCGUUUAAAUAGUUCACCUUUUCUAAAAACUGUAGUUCUCUGGUUAGAAAAACAAUAGUUAUCUCUGCAAAAAAGUAUGACAAUUUUUUGGUAAAGUCUCAAUCUCUUCUCAGUUUUAGUGUACGUUCGCUGGCGAUGCGUCCAGCAUGCUUGCGGUGAUAGCGCCAUAGUGGCCACCACUAAUGGCAUUGGCGGCCAGCAUGCUUGCACAAAAAAUAGCUAGCUAGGUGUUCAGGAUCUUCUAUUUUAUCCCCCGAAACAGGGUGCUCAGGACGUCUAUUUUGUUCUCUGAAACACUAGCUAGGUGUUCCCAGUUCAGUACGUGGACUAUCAUCAUCUCUAGUUGCUGCUUCCUGCCACCAACGAAUUGCGCAAGUUCAAAGAGUGUCGCAUGACAAAUUCAAAAGGUGUUGUAUGGCAAGUUCAGAAUUUUGGUUUCGUGAAAAGUGUGAUUUUUGGACAAUAUUUUGUGCGAUUCAAUUGUUCAUCUUCAGAACUUGGAGAUGUUAAGUCUACUUUUUUCUAUGAUGAAGGUACACAUGAGAUCCAUCUGCAAUGGUUAUCGGCCCUAGUGCUUCAAAGAUGCUUAUUUUGUUUCCCCCGUGACACAGCGAGGAUGAUAGUGACGACACUUACAAAAUUGUUUUCUGUGUUGCUAUGUUGUCAGUCCAAAGUGUGGUGAAGAUGUAGUCCUGGGUGUGUAGAUGAUGUGGUGUGUGUCUGGUUGUGUGUGUGUGCAUGAUGAUUGGUGGCUGUUGUGUGUGUGUGCAGGGUACCCGGCGACAGCGGGUAGGCGGCAAGUGUACUGGUGAGCAGCUACCCGGAAAAUGCUGGAACAGGGCUUCCAAAGUAAGCUCCUUGCUUCUUGCUUCUCUUUAAAUCUCUUGAGCUUUACAUGGUAUGUUCAAGACAAGUCCUCUAGUGGUUGUAUUGUAUGAUGUUCGUUUAAAUGAUCGGCUAUACUGACACCGCAUACGUGGAAACUCAAAAUGAAAAUAAAAGGUGUUAAUGGAGAAAUAUAAGAACAAAAACAGUUAUGUGUAGCCAUCUAGCAACAUGGUGAUCAAACAAAAUCCCGACAGCCACCCUCCAUGGUGAUCAAUUCCAUGUGCUGAUGGGUAUGCUUGCUUAGCACAAAAUUCAUAAACUGUCAAUUUAUUUUGAAUUGAACUGAUGCUGCUCUUGAUUCAGACAUGAGGGGAGAAGACGGAACUAGAAUGAUUCAGUUCAUCAUUGGCACCCCUGUAAACCAAACAGUGAAGAACACACCCACUGUACUUUUGCUCUUGUUCUUUCUAUCUCCUGAAUUCCACGCUUUCUGUGAUGAGCAUGCUUGGUACUAUAUAGAUACUGCUGUAGUAGUUCUAAUACAAUAUAUUACAAGAAUUCAUUGACAAAAAAGGUGUCAGUUCAUAUAUGCAUGCAGCAGCUGUUCUGAUACUACUUCAGUAACCAGAAAAACACAGAAGUUCAACUAUACUUAUGCAAAAUAGUUCAAUAUUUUAUUCUAUGACAGUCAAGAAAAACAGAAAAAAAGAGGUUCAUCGUGUGAUGAGCAAUAGUCCCAACAACUGUGCUAGAGAUGCAAAAAAUUGAUAGCAUAGCCGAUGCUAUUUUUCAUCCAAUUUCGGAAGAAAACUGAAGUUGAUCAGAGUAACUGAAGAAUGAUCUGUUAGUUCUUGUCCCAACAACUGUGCUAGAGAUGCAAAAAAUUGAUAGCAUAGCCGAUGCUAUUUUUCAUCCAAUUUCGGAAGAAAACUGAAGUUGAUCAGAGUAACUGAAGAAUGAUCUGUUAGUUCUUGAGUAUGUGUAAUGCUGCCAUUUUACUAUGCAUUUGAUUCCAUCGUGAUGGAUGUAUUACAAAGAUAUGGCUGUAUUAUUAUGUUGAAUAAAAAUACCAUUUUGCUGCAACAUUUUCUGUCAGCUCCUGUCAAGUUAUACAUGUAUGUGAGGAUCCUUCUAUGUAGUAAGUUCAUAGUCGAGAAGUCAGGGACUUCGUAAGGAACGUGAACACCAAAAAACCAUUAAAAAACCUAAACCAUAUGUUAGGGGAGUUCAAGAAGUUCAUGGCUAGCUGUCCGUGUUCUGUAUUCUUAUCAGUUCAUAAUCGAGACGACAUGUAUUCUUAUCAGUUCAUAAUCGAGACGACAUGUAUUCUUAUCAGUUUGUUUAUCUAGCCCGUCGUGCUGUGUAUUCUGGUCAGUUCGUGUGUGUAUGUGUUGCCCUCGCAGUGUAUGAGAGGCCGCCCGUGAGGAAGUCGCCGAUCUGGUUGAGGCAUGCUGCUAUUCUCUAUAUCCGGUAGCACAAACAUUUAAAAGUUCGAACACCAAACCCUGGUGAGUUCUUCUUAACAAAAACUCAUCCCUCAUAUUUGUUCCUUUUUUCGUAGGUUGAAGUUAAAACAAGAUGGAGAUGUGUGUUUUGGAGAGAGAAGAACUUAUCUAGUGGAGUGCGUGUGUGUGCUGCUGCAUCCUCGUCCGGCAGCUCUAAUCCACACUCUCAGUACUAGGUGGUGGCAUUGCUUCACUUCUCUUGUUACGUUCUCUUCGCCCAAAUUCGGAGGAUCAAGAAAAUAAAAUAUCAUUCUUUUGACAUGCACUACUCAAAAGAAGGCAUUUCUGUUGAAAAAUUGUUUCGCUUGACAUGUACUUGCCAACAAUUAUGUAUAAUAAAUCAUGGCAUUGUAUGUAGAAAAAGAUAUAUUGUGUGUUCUGCUGUUGUAUUGAGUUGCUAUCUAUUGCUAAUUGUAUGAUGUUGCUAUUGCUCUCCGUGUCAUGUUAUGCAAGUUGACACCGAGUACACGUUGGAUGAUA